UACGUAGGGCGCAAGCGUUGUCCGGAAUUAUUGGGCGUAAAGAGCUCGUAGGCGGCUUGUCACGUCGGAUGUGAAAGCCCGGGGCUUAACCCCGGGUCUGCAUUCGAUACGGGCAGGCUAGAGUGUGGUAGGGGAGAGCGGAAUUCCUGGUGUAGCGGUGAAAUGCGCAGAUAUCAGGAGGAACACCGGUGGCGAAGGCGGAUCUCUGGGCCAUUACUGACGCUGAGGAGCGAAAGCGUGGGGAGCGAACAGG
rnacentral:rRNA from 1 species